rnacentral:rRNA from 1 species
AACGAACGCUGGCGGCAGGCCUAACACAUGCAAGUCGAACGCCGUAGCAAUACGGAGUGGCAGACGGGUGAGUAACGCGUGGAAACCUUCCCUAUGGUUCGGAAUAGCUCAGGGAAACCUGGGGUAAUACCGGAUAAGCCCUUCGGGGGAAAGAUUUAUCGCCAUUGGAUGGGCCCGCGUCGGAUUAGCUAGUUGGUGAGGUAACGGCUCACCAAGGCGACGAUCCGUAGCUGGUCUGAGAGGAUGAUCAGCCACACUGGGACUGAGACACGGCCCAGACUCCUACGGGAGGCAGCAGUGGGGAAUAUUGGACAAUGGGCGAAAGCCCGAUCCAGCCAUGUCGCGUGAGUGACGAAGGCCUUAGGGUUGUAAAGCUCUUUUGGCGGGGAAGAUAAUGACGGUACCCGCAGAAUAAGCUCCGGCUAACUUCGUGCCAGCAGCCGCCGUAA